rnacentral:tRNA from 1 species
AGGGUUAGAGCUUGUUAAGUCUUUAGUUACAUUAAAGGGAACACAAAUUUUGUGUAACCCUA